GUCAAUUUGUGUAAACAGGUCGGUCUCGAUAGAGUCGGGUUGGGUCUAUCUCAAAUGGGAGUCUUGUUAAAUUUAAGUCAAAAUUUAAAUCGGAUUGUUUUUACGUCGAGUGAUCAGAUCGAAUGAGGUCUGUUUUUAACGCCUUUAUUACGUCGUCGUGGGCAUAAUGCUACAUUGACAUAUUGCAACCUUCCUUACUCGUACUAAAAUUCAACUCCCUCCACAAUCCACAUCCAGUGCCAAACAACACCACAACAAAUCAACAAUGGAGGAAGGGCAAGACUCGUGGACAUCAGCAGACAAGCUAUACCACAUCAUCUUCUGCUUCUCCCUAACACUCCUCUUCUCUCUCCUCAUCUCUCUCACUCAUUCCUCCUUCCUCCGAAAUCGCUCUCUCUUCUUCGCCGCUUCUCUCUCUCUCCUCGCCGGCGCCGCCAAAGAAGCCGCCGAUCACCUCGGCUUCUUCCGCUCCUCCGGCGCCUCCGCCAAAGACGCCGUCGCUGGUCGUCAUCGCUUGCUUCCUGCUUUCUCUCUCCAAAUUUUUCCAACGGAAGUCCAAAAUUGAUGAUGAUGAUGAUGAUCAGAUUGCCGGUGUUGCGCUUGUUUGAAUCGAGUAUCAUUUUCUCAGGUACUGUGGAUGGCAGUUACGUAACAGGCACGGAUCUCAAAUUCUCAAUACAAUGACUUUUGUUUUGCUGAAGAGGAGCAGUUGGCCAUCUUCUUUUAUGAAUUUCCCAUCAUGCAGAGGCAUUCAAAAGUACGGGGUAAAAAGAAAAUUUUGAUGCUUACAGCUCUUGUGUCGGUGGCUACUGCAGUGACAACAAACAUGAGAUUGAAGGCGAUGAUGAA